rnacentral:rRNA from 1 species
CAGGCCUAACACAUGCAAGUCGAGCGCGAAAGUGCCUUCGGGUGCGAGUAGAGCGGCGGACGGGUGCGUAACGCGUAGGAAUCUGCCUGGUAGUGGGGGAUAACUCGGGGAAACUCGAGCUAAUACCGCAUACGCCCCAUGGGGGAAAGCGGGGGACCUUCGGGCCUCGCGCUAUCAGAUGAGCCUGCGUCGGAUUAGCUAGUUGGUAGGGUAAUGGCCUACCAAGGCGACGAUCCGUAGCUGGUCUGAGAGGAUGAUCAGCCACACUGGGACUGAGACACGGCCCAGACUCCUACGGGAGGCAGCAGUGGGGAAUAUUGGGCAAUGGGCGCAAGCUGAUCCAGCAAUGCCGCGUGCAGGAUGAAGGCCUUCGGGUUGUAAACUGCUUUUGUACGGAGCGAAACGGUCUGCCUUAAUACGGUGGGCUAAUGACGGUACCGUAAGAAUAAGCACCGGCUAACUACGUGCCAGCAGCCGCGGUAAU